CCUUCCCCUAUGCGACCACCGGAGUAACUGAAACAGCUUGAGUGUUCAUUUCACCACUGGAGCCAACCCAGACCUCCUUUCUUUUAUCCACCCUCCAACCUGUACAACCUCUCCUACCUUCAUACCUCAGAUACUUAGAUCAUCUAUGCCUUAAAUAUUAACCACCAGAAGAUUCUCUCCAUCCAUUCUGAGACAUGGCGCAAUCCUUUCAUCUUUUUCAUGGAGAACCCACAGUGACAUCCUCUCCCACUGAAGUUCGUGUGUGGGUAGAAGAAUUGGAUUAUAGUUUUUUGGCAUAUGGAGAAAACUUUGAAAGAGCAGAAAUCAAUGGGGAAAAGUUACUUAGCAUCACCCGGCAAAAACUUAAGGAACUUGGCGUAACCCGGACUGAACACCAGAAUAUC